CCUACGGGUCGCAGCAGUAGGGAAUCUUCGGCAGUGGGCGAAAGUCUGGCCGAGCAACGCCGCGUGAGUGAAGAAGGUUUUCGGAUCGUAAAACUCUGUUGGUAGAGAAGAACGUUGGUGAGAGUGGAAAGCUCAUCAGGUGACGGUAACUACCCAGAAAGGGACGGCUAACUACGUGCCAGCAGCCGCGGUAAUACGUAGGUCCCGAGCGUUAUCCGGAUUUAUUGGGCGUAAAGCGAGCGCAGGUGGUUUAUUAAGUCUGGUGUAAAAGGCAGUGGCUCAACCAUUGUAUGCAUUGGAAACUGGUAGACUUGAGUGCAGGAGAGGAGAGUGGAAUUCCAUGUGUAGCGGUGAAAUGCGUAGAUAUAUGGAGGAACACCGGUGGCGAAAGCGGCUCUCUGGCCUGUAACUGACACUGAGGCUCGAAAGCGUGGGGAGCAAACAGGAUUAGAUACCCCAGUAGUC
rnacentral:rRNA from 1 species